rnacentral:rRNA from 1 species
UACGAAGGGGGCUAGCGUUGCUCGGAAUCACUGGGCGUAAAGCGCACGUAGGCGGAUUGCUAAGUCAGGGGUGAAAAUCUCUGGGCUCAACUCAGAGACUGCUUCCGAAACUGCUGUGCUGGAGUGUGGGGAGAGGGCGCGUGGAAUUUGCAGGUGUAGCGGUGAAAAUGCGUAGAUAUCUGCAGGAACACCCGUGGCGAAAAGCGGCGCGUGGGACCA